CCUUUUCCGAACAGUUCUUGCGACAUUCCUCUGUAUCACAUUUAGUAAUAAACGCUGUUACGAAGAUAUAAUGGAAACGGACGAUAACUGGUUGUGGACAAAUUAUACUGAAAUAGAAGAUUCGUUGGCGAAGUGCAAUUUGUGUAAUAAAAUUUACGAAGUUGCAAAUGGGAGACUCUCGAAGAAAGCAGGAUUGCACUUAUUAAAAGAGCACAAAAUAUUCAAUAACGACAGAGCGGUCUUACACAAUUGCUGGAUAUAUUACAAACGCUUAUCUGGAUAUAGAGCAAUAUGCAAUGCCUGUGGUAAAAUUUACGAUACUAUGGAUAUCAAAUAUACGAAGAAAUACUCGAAGAAAGUGCACGUAUCGAUAAUACUUCAGCAAUUUUGGAUGCGGAGAUACCACACGCCGUCAGGACAAGACGCCAACUGCAAUUUUUGUGGCGCCUGUUAUAAUUUUACAUAUUCAGUGAAAUGGGUGGAAAAACAAUUGAUAGAACUACAUUCGGACACGACAGCAUUUCCCUAAAGAAAGAAGAUAAAUAUACAACAGCUAAGUAUGACAAUAAAAGACAUUCACAUUAAAAGGCAAUGAGACAAGGUACAUUAUUGGUGAUUAUAUUCCUGGAAUAUUGAACGGAAGAGCUGCUUAAAAUUACUUGAUCUUGUACAUAUAUCAUCGGACAAAUGCAUAUUCAAAACCUGGAUGCAGAAAAUAAGACAAAUACGUUAAUGGAAGCUAGUAUAAUAUACAGGAAAAUGAAACGAUUGCAAGUUCUCAUCAAACUGGUAUUCAAAAAUCUAAGAAAAAUGAUAAAAGCGUUCACAUUCAGCGGAUGGACCGUGAUGUAGGUUUCGAAGCAGACAUUUAAAUCUACAAUAAUGGAUCAAUACCAUCUACAAUAAUGGAAAUUAAUAAUGGAUCAAGUAAUAGCAGUUUCGACUUUGACGCAUUCCAACCUAGGAAUAAUUGAAGAAACAAGAGCUCCCGCCGGAAUAAUUAUUAUCAUUACACGAAUCUGUCAUUAUAGAGUGUUAGACGCGAAGC